rnacentral:tmRNA from 1 species
GGGGCCGACUGGAAUUGACAGGUUAGGAGUGGUUUCUGUAAGCAUGCCGGGUAAUGCGGUAGAAUCCCGUAAAACGCAAUCGCACAUUAUUAAUUGGCGAAUAUAAUUAUUCUUUAGCAGCUUAAUCUAGGAUUAAACAAUGCUAAUCUUUCCCAGCAGCCCUGUUCGUUGGCGGUUGAUCAGGAAGGAGCGCAAGAACGAAAUAAGCCUGUAAAAGUCUUGGUUAUAGGUCGAAAACUAAAGAGACUCAGACCUAAGUUCGGUUAGUUUCAGACCUGCUUUGGUUAACAUCAACUGAAACUAAGCAUGUAGAAAGCAUUUAUUGCACUAUCUCUGGACGGGAGUUCGAAUCUCCCCGGCUCCACCU